rnacentral:rRNA from 1 species
CGGCCCAGUAAGUCCUCCGUUAAAUCCAACGGCUCAACCGUUGGGCUGCGGGGGAUACUGCUGGGCUAGGGGACGGGAGAGGCGAGGGGUAUUCCCGGGGUAGGGGUAAAAUCCACUGAUCCCGGGAGGACCACCAGUGGCGAAGGCGCCCGGCUGGAACGCGCCUGACGGUGAGGGCCGAAAGCCGGGGGAGCGAACCGGAUUAGAUACCCGGGUAGUCCCGGCUGUAAACGAUGUAGGCUCGGUGUUGGGCUGCCUCAGUGGCAGCCCAGUGCCGCAGGGAAGCCGUUAAGCCUACCGCCUGGGGA